AUUGAACGCUGGCGGCCUGCCUAACACAUGCAAGUCGAGCGAGCGGCGGACGGGGGAGGAAUGUAUGGGGAAUGCUGGUUCGAUGGGGAUAACGACUGUAAACGGUAGCUAAUACCGCAUACUAUCGGAUAACCCAUAUGGGAUUAGCUAGUAGGUGAGGUAAUGGCUCACCUAGGCGACGAUCCCUAGCUGGUCUGAGAGGAUGAUCAGCAACACUGGGACUGAGACACGGCCCAGCCUCCUACGGAGGCAGCAGUGGGGAAUAUUGCACAACGGGCGCACGCCUGAUGCAGCCAUGCCGCGUGUAUGAAGAAGGCCCUAGGGUUGUAAAGUACUUUCAGUCGGGAGGCGUUACCGACAGAAGAAGCACCGGCUAACUCCGUGCCAGCAGCCGCGGUAAUAC
rnacentral:rRNA from 1 species